rnacentral:rRNA from 1 species
AAUGAACGCUGGCGGCGCGCCUAAUACAUGCAAGUCGAGCGAGAAGACGUAGCAAUACGUUUGUAAAGCGGCGAACGGGUGAGGAAUACAUGGGUAACCUACCCUCGAGUGGGGAAUAACUAGCCGAAAGGUUAGCUAAUACCGCGUACGCUUCUUGGACUUCGGUUCAGGGAGGAAAGCGAUGCCGAGGGUAUCGCGCUCUUGGAUGGGCUCAUGUCCUAUCAGCUUGNGGUGAGGUAACGGCUCACCAAGGCUUCGACGGGUAGCUGGUCUGAGAGGACGAUCAGCCGCACUGGCACUGCGACACGGGCCAGACUCCUACGGGAGGCAGCAGUAAGGAAUAUUGCGCAAUGGGCGAAAGCCUGACGCAGCGACGCCG